AGAGUUUGAUCAUGGCUCAGGAUGAACGCUAGCGGCAGGCUUAAUACAUGCAAGUCGUGGGGCAGCGCAGUGUAGCAAUACAUGGGCGGCGACCGGCAAACGGGUGCGGAACACGUACACAACCUUCCUUCAAAUGGGGAAUAGCCCAGGGAAACUUGGAUUAAUACCCCGUAAUAUUGCGAGAUGGCAUCAUUUUGCAAUUAUAGCUCAGGCGUUUGAAGAUGGGUGUGCGGCUGAUUAGGUAGUUGGCGGGGUAACGGCCCACCAAGCCUACGAUCAGUAACUGGUGUGAGAGCACGACCAGUCACACGGGCACUGAGACACGGGCCCGACUCCUACGGGAGGCAGCAGUAAGGAAUAUUGGUCAAUGGACGCAAGUCUGAACCAGCCAUGCCGCGUGGAGGAUGAAGGUCCUCUGGAUUGUAAACUUCUUUUCUCUGGGGCGAAAAAAGGGUAUUCUUACCCACUUGACAGUACCAGGGGAAUAAGCACCGGCUAACUCCGUGCCAGCAGCCGCGGUAAUAC
rnacentral:rRNA from 1 species